UGUAGUCAUAUGCUUGUCUCAAAGAUUAAGCCAUGCAUGUCUAAGUAUAAGCAAUUUAUACAGUGAAACUGCGAAUGGCUCAUUAAAUCAGUUAUCGUUUAUUUGAUAGUACCUUUACUACUUGGAUAACCGUGGUAGUUCUAGAGCUAAUACAUGCUAAAAAUCCCGACUUCUGGAAGGGAUGUAUUUAUUAGAUAAAAAAUCAAUGCUCUUCGGAGCUCUUUGAUGAUUCAUAAUAACUUUUCGAAUCGCAUGGCCUUGUGCUGGCGAUGGUUCAUUCAAAUUUCUGCCCUAUCAACUUUCGAUGGUAGGAUAGUGGCCUACCAUGGUUUCAACGGGUAACGGGGAAUAAGGGUUCGAUUCCGGAGAGGGAGCCUGAGAAACGGCUACCACAUCCAAGGAAGGCAGCAGGCGCGCAAAUUACCCAAUCCCGACACGGGGAGGUAGUGACAAUAAAUAACGAUACAGGGCCCUUUCGGGUCUUGUAAUUGGAAUGAGUACAAUGUAAAUACCUUAACGAGGAACAAUUGGAGGGCAAGUCUGGUGCCAGCAGCCGCGGUAAUUCCAGCUCCAAUAGCGUAUAUUAAAGUUGUUGCAGUUAAAAAGCUCGUAGUUGAACCUUGGGCUUGGUUGGCCGGUCCGCUUUAUGGCGAGUACUGGACCCAACCGAGCCUUUCCUUCUGGCUAACCAUUCGCCCUUGUGGUGUUUGGCGAACCAGGACUUUUACUUUGAAAAAAUUAGAGUGUUCAAAGCAGGCCUUUGCUCGAAUAUAUUAGCAUGGAAUAAUAGAAUAGGACGUUAUGGUUCUAUUUUGUUGGUUUCUAGGACCAUCGUAAUGAUUAAUAGGGACGGUCGGGGGCGUCAGUAUUCAGUUGUCAGAGGUGAAUUCUUGUAUUUACUGAAGACUAGC
rnacentral:rRNA from 1 species